CCUACGGGUGGCAGCAGUGAGGAAUAUUGGUCAAUGGACGAGAGUCUGAACCAGCCAAGUAGCGUGAAGGAUGACUGCCCUAUGGGUUGUAAACUUCUUUUAUAUGGGAAUAAAAUGUUCCACGUGUGGGGUUUUGUAUGUACCAGAAGAAUAAGGAUCGGCUAACUCCGUGCCAGCAGCCGCGGUAAUACGGAGGAUCCGAGCGUUAUCCGGAUUUAUUGGGUUUAAAGGGUGCGUAGGUGGAUUGUUAAGUCAGUUGUGAAAUUUUGCGGCUCAACCGUCAGAUUGCAGUUGAAACUGGCAGUCUUGAGUACAGUAGAGGUAGGCGGAAUUCGUGGUGUAGCGGUGAAAUGCAUAGAUAUCACGAAGAACUCCGAUUGCGAAGGCAGCUCACUGGACUGCAACUGACGCUGAGGCACGAAAGUGUGGGUAUCGAACAGGAUUAGAUACCCCAGUAGUC
rnacentral:rRNA from 1 species